rnacentral:rRNA from 1 species
GUGGGGAAUAUUGGACAAUGGGGGGAACCCUGAUCCAGCCAUGCCGCGUGUGUGAAGAAGGCCUUUUGGUUGUAAAGCACUUUAAGCGAGGAGGAGGCUACCGAGAUUAAUACUCUUGGAUAGUGGACGUUACUCGCAGAAUAAGCACCGGCUAACUCUGUGCCAGCAGCCGCGGUAAUACAGAGGGUGCAAGCGUUAAUCGGAUUUACUGGGCGUAAAGCGCGCGUAGGUGGCCAAUUAAGUCAAAUGUGAAAUCCCCGAGCUUAACUUGGGAAUUGCAUUCGAUACUGGUUGGCUAGAGUAUGGGAGAGGAUGGUAGAAUUCCAGGUGUAGCGGUGAAAUGCGGAGAGAUCUGGAGGAAUACCGAUGGCGAAGGCAGCCAUCUGGCCUAAUACUGACACUGAGGUGCGAAAGCAUGGGGAGCAAACAGGAUUAGAAACCCUGGUAGUCC